rnacentral:lncRNA from 1 species
GGAAGAUAGAAGACUUAAGAGUUCUUUUCUGAUCUGUGCUGUUGCUUUCUAUGCGAGUCAUUUUAGAAGGAAGUAAGCAUCAACGAUAAUACUUCAGGGCUGACACUUCUUUUUUUUUUUUUUUUUGGUUCUUUUUUUCGGAGCUGGGGACCGAACCCAGGGCCUUGCGCUUCCUAGGUAAGCGCUCUACCACUGAGCUAAAUCCCCAGCCCCCAGGGCUGACACUUCUGAGGCAUUAAAAAGAAAACAACUUUUCUAAUAUUGUGAACAAAUAAAGUAGCUAUUUUGGUGGAUUUUUAGGUUUUAUUGAAUUAACCUUUUCUAAUGAGAAUUUUAGUUUAAGAUUUAGGUAAAGAUUGUUUAAUAAUUAUUGAAGGGCUAAUAAUGUGGUUCAGCAGAUAAAGGUGUUGCUACCAAACCUGAUGACCUGAGUUCAACCCCCAAACUGCAUGGGUAGGAGAGAAUUGACUCCUGAAAAUUGUCCUCUGACCUACGCGCGCGCGCACACACACACACACACACACACACACACAAUGUUUGAAAAAAAAAUCCAGAGGUGGUAGCACACAUCUUUAAUCCCAUAAUUUUGGUGGUUCUCUUGAGUUUGAGGCCAGCCUACAUACAGCCUAUACAGAAUGAGUUCCAGGGUAGCCAGGGCUCCACAGAAGAAAUCCUGUUUCAAAAAAAUUAAAAAAAAAAAUAAAAUAAA